rnacentral:lncRNA from 1 species
GUACAACCAACAAGUUUAAUGAAAAAAAAUACCUAUAACCCCUAUAUACAAUUUAUACAAACUAGCUAACCACCUGACGUACUAGGCUAGUACGCUCCUGUCUAUAACACAGAUAUUACAGUAGAAAAAGAAAAAUGUAUUGAAUUUAUUAUACCAAGACAGUUAGUUGAUCUAAAUAUGCAUGUACAAAACUUAUUAUUAAGGAGUAUUACAACAUUGGUUGACAAUCCCGCAUCUGAUCGGAAUGACAAACCGGACAAUACUUAUGCAAUAAAUAUUAUUAAAGAGGUAAUGUAAUAACGCUAGAUAUUGUGCACAUUAUCUUACCAGAUAGGUUAUGAUCUCUGGACUAUUUUAAAUAAAAGAUACAAUAAUGAAAAUGACAUAAAAUUUGUUGAAAAGAAAAAUAUUGAAUAUGAUAAAGUGAAUCGAUUUUAGAAAAAUGAAUUUAUAUGAUUAUUAAGGUUAUUUAUGUUAUUAAAGAAUGUUAAAGUUGAAAAAAUUAUGUAAAAGAAUUGAAGAUAUAAAUUUUUGUAAUAAAAACCUGUCGUUUCUACAAAAAGUAGGCCUGUGGCUGCUCCAAACUCCAGUUAAGUUGAUACAGGGACAGCCAAGUAAGGUAUCUUCCGGUUUUCCCUACCUUAGGGGGAGUACUUCUCACCAACCAGAAGGUACGUAGAUGAGGUGCGACAAGGAGGUACUUCCUAGCACCGGGAAAACUAUCUAUCUCCAAAAAAAAA